rnacentral:rRNA from 1 species
AGUGAACGCUGGCGGUAGGCCUAACACAUGCAAGUCGAACGGCAGCACAGUAAGAGCUUGCUCUUACGGGUGGCGAGUGGCGGACGGGUGAGGAAUACAUCGGAAUCUACUUUUUCGUGGGGGAUAACGUAGGGAAACUUACGCUAAUACCGCAUACGACCUACGGGUGAAAGCAGGGGAUCUUCGGACCUUGCGCGAUUGAAUGAGCCGAUGUCGGAUUAGCUAGUUGGCGGGGUAAAGGCCCACCAAGGCGACGCUCCGUAGCUGGUCUGAGAGGAUGUUCAGCCACACUGGAACUGAGACACGGUCCAGACUCCUACGGGAGGCAGCAGUGGGGAAUAUUGGACAAUGGGCGCAAGCCUGAUCCAGCCAUACCGCGUGGGUGAAGAAGGCCUUCGGGUUGUAAAGCCCUUUUGUUGGGAAAGAAAAGCAGCAGGUUAAUACCCCGCUGUUCUGACGGUACCCAAAGAAUAAGCACCGGCUAACUUCGU